UACGAAGGGGGCUAGCGUUGCUCGGAAUCACUGGGCGUAAAGGGCGCGUAGGCGGAUCUUUAAGUCGGACGUGAAAUCCCUCGGCUCAACCGGGGAACUGCGUCCGAUACUGGUGGGCUCGAAUCCGGGAGAGGGAUGUGGAAUUCCAGGUGUAGCGGUGAAAUGCGUAGAUAUCUGGAGGAACACCGGUGGCGAAGGCGGCAUCCUGGACCGGUAUUGACGCUGAUGCGCGAAAGCCAGGGGAGCAAACGGG
rnacentral:rRNA from 1 species